rnacentral:rRNA from 1 species
CAAACAACUCUCGGCACCGGAUAUCUCGGCUCUCGCAUCGAUAAAGAACGUAGCGAAUUGCGAUACUUGGUGUGAAUUGCAAAAUCCCGUGAACCAUCGAGUCUUUGAACGCAAGUUGCGCCCGAAGCCAUUAGGCCGAGGGCACGUCUGCUGGGGCGUCACGC